ACCAGGAGUCCUUGGCUAAGGAGAGCUGAUGGAGGAGCCGUGCACCUGGAGAACCAUGAGUCUGCCUGCCAACAAGUAGUACUGGGAUAGGGAGGUGAUGGAGGACCUGCCUGGUGAAGGACGUCAGGGUGGGGCGAGUGACACCCGACUCCAAGGGGAUAUCCACUGAGGAGAGAGCUGAAGGAGCCAUGCAUCUGGAAGGUGCAGUUGAAAUGCUGUGUCCAGUCUGGGACAGACAGACCUGAGCUGCGUCAACCCUGUAUCUCUGACCAGCUG